rnacentral:rRNA from 1 species
AGCAGCCGCGGUAAUUCCAGCUCCAAUAGCGUAUAUUAAAGUUGUUGCAGUUAAAAAGCUCGUAGUUGAAUUUCGGGAUUGGCGCAUCGGUCGUGCCUUACGGGGUAUGAACUGGUGCAGUCAAUUUCUCACCUUCUGGAGAACCGCGAUGUCCUUAAUUGGGUGUCGCGGGGAACCAGGACCUUUACUUUGAAAAAAUUAGAGUGUUUAAAGCAGGCAUUUUUGCUUGAAUACAUUAGCAUGGAAUAAUAAAAUAGGACGGCAUGGUUCUAUUUUGUUGGUUUCUAGGACCACCGUAAUGAUUAAUAGGGAUAGUUGGGGGCAUUAGUAUUCAAUUGUCAGAGGUGAAAUUCUUGGAUUUAUUGAAGACUAACUACUGCGAAAGCAUUUGCCAAGGAUGUUUUCAUUAAUCAAGAACGAAAGUUAGGGGAUCGAAGACGAUCAGAUACCGUCGUAGUCUUAACCAUAAACUAUGCCGACUAGGAAUCAGACGAUGUUAAUUUUUUAAUGACUCGUUUUG